rnacentral:rRNA from 1 species
AUUGAACGCUGGCGGCAGGCCUAACACAUGCAAGUCGAGCGUGCGGCGGACGGUGGAGUAAUGGCGGGGAAACUGCCUGAUGGAGGGGGAUAACUCCUGGAAAAGGUAUCUAAUCCCGCAUACCAUCAGAUGUGCGCAGAUGGGAUUAGCUAGUCGGGGGGGGAACGGCCCACCUAGGCGACGAUCACUAGCUGGUCUGAGAGGAUGACCAGCCACACUGGAACUGAGACACGGUCCAGACUCCUACGGGAGGCAGCAGUGGGGAAUAUUGCACAAUGGGCGAAAGCCUGAUGCAGCCAUGCCGCGUGUGUGAAGAAGGCCUGCGGGUUGUAAAGCACUGUCAGCGGGGAGGCGUUACCCGCAGAAGAAGCACCGGCUAACUCCGUGCCAGCAGCCGCGGUAAUAC